ACUCCUACGGGAGGGCAGCAGUAGGGGAAUCUUCCACAAUGGGCGCAAGCCUGAUGGAGCAACACCGCGUGAGUGAAGAAGGGUUUCGGCUCGUAAAGCUCUGUUGUUAAAGAAGAACACGUAUGAGAGUAACUGUUCAUACGUUGACGGUAUUUAACCAGAAAGUCACGGCUAACUACGUGCCAGCAGCCGCGGUAAUACGUAGGUGGCAAGCGUUAUCCGGAUUUAUUGGGCGUAAAGAGAGUGCAGGCGGUUUUCUAAGUCUGAUGUGAAAGCCUUCGGCUUAACCGGAGAAGUGCAUCGGAAACUGGAUAACUUGAGUGCAGAAGAGGGUAGUGGAACUCCAUGUGUAGCGGUGGAAUGCGUAGAUAUAUGGAAGAACACCAGUGGCGAAGGCGGCUACCUGGUCUGCAACUGACGCUGAGACUCGAAAGCAUGGGUAGCGAACAGGAUUAGAUACCCUGGUAGGAUAGCG
rnacentral:rRNA from 1 species